AGAGUUGAUCAUGGCUCAGGAUGAACGCUGGCGGCGUGCCUAACACAUGCAAGUCGAACGGCUUAUUUCUGGAGGCUCGGCCAAAGAGAGCUUAAGCUAGUGGCGGACGGGUGAGUAACGCGUGGAGAACCUGCCCUGUACUGGGGGAUAACAGUGAGAAAUCACUGCUAAUACCGCAUAAGCGCACGGCACCGCAUGGUGCAGUGUGAAAAACUCCGGUGGUACAGGAUGGCUCCGCGUUGGAUUAGCCAGUUGGCGGGGUAACGGCCCACCAAAGCGACGAUCCAUAGCCGGCCUGAGAGGGUGAACGGCCACAUUGGGACUGAGACACGGCCCAGACUCCUACGGGAGGCAGCAGUGGGGAAUAUUGCACAAUGGGGGGAACCCUGAUGCAAGCGACGCCGCGUGAAGGAUGAAGUAUCUCGGUAUGUAAACUUCUAUCAGCAGGGAAGAUGAUGACGGUACCUGACUAAGAAGCCCCGGCUAACUACGUGCCAGCCGCGGC
rnacentral:rRNA from 1 species